GUGUACUUAGAAAGGUCACAGUGUUGGAGAGACAGCUGGUGCAGUGAGUUUUUUUUCUCUUUUCUUUCAGUGUGUGAUGGAGUCUGGUUUUCUCGCCGUUAUUCUUGUCUCCUCUUUUGCAGUGAAUUCCUCUCACUCUGCCAUCACAGACUGGGAAGAUGUUGUGGUGGCGAGAGAGGGCAUGCCUACCACCUUGGUCUGCACUGAUACAGUCAGGGGUGCCGUGGCCAUUAACUGGAUGGUGAAGUCACUUGGUGCGGAUGAUUUGAAACUGGUUCUCUCAGCCAGCGAAACUAACGAGUUCUCGGGUGGUGCCUCGAGGGCAUCCAUGCAGUUGAGUGACCCUAACUUUCAAGACACAGGGGUUUUCUCUCUGUCCUUAGUUCCCACAAUGGAGGACAUUGGUCUCUACUCAUGCUUGAUUAAGCAACAAGAGAGGAAACUGAAGGAGAAGAUUAUCCUCUUAGCCAUCCUUACAGUGACGGUUGUCCCUGCUGCACCCAUUCCUCAGCAAAGCACCCUGCGGCUGAUUGCUUGUGUUAAUCCUCCCUCUGCCGUCAAAAAGAUCACCUGGGCAGCACCUGGCGGCAUUCCCAUAAAGAGCGAGAAGAAGCCAAACACAGGCACAGUGGCCAAACUGCCACAGGUCCAGAACAGUGACAAUGGGGCUUAUGUUUGUAUGGUCCACCCUUGGGGUAACAGCAGCAGCGCUCUUUUCCCCUUCAACGUGGAGGUGACUGUUGAUGCUGACAAUGUGGCCUCAUUCACCAGUAUAACACAUGAAAGCGAAGUCUCCACUGCCACUCAGGCUCAGACCCCUUUCCUCAUGACCUGUCCUGGUGUUGUGGGAGACUUUGUCAGGCUGCACUGGCUACCUCCAGACAGGAAGAGGGGCACUGAUAUGAAGUUGGUGUAUGAGUACGACCGCUGGAGGGAUUCCACCAUUUUAACAGCGCACAGCAAGAAACUCAUGCUUGCCGGCCCACCCUAUAACGCAGAGGCUGGGAGCUUCGCCUUUCUGCUCACUCCUGGGUUGCAAGAUGGAGGCCUCUAUGUCUGUGACGUGUUCCAAAAUGACAACGCCUUCAGCAACAGGGUCACACUGAGCGUGCUGAAAGUUAAAAUCAGCUAUUCCUCCUCAAAGCUGGAAUUGGGGUGCCUGUACUCAGAGCGGUCUCAGGUCCAAAGUGCUGUUUGGAAGUACCAGAAUAAGAGUCGCCGGCUAGAGUUGUUUAGCAACCGCCCUGGCAGCAUUACCACCACUCUGGCCUUACCCAUCACCCCUGACACAGCCGGGAACUACACCUGCAUCCUACGGCUGAAAAAUGGCCGGACCGUCUGGGCAACGCAAGCUGUCACACUGCCCCAUGAACCUGAGAAGGAUGAUAUCUGACAGAUGUGAUCGCUUUGUGCUCCAUGAACAGUGAGCAGGCGGUGACACAACACUUGCUCAGGUACACUAAAUUACAGCAGUCUCUGUGGAAACGAGCACCUCCCUCCUGCUUCUUGCGUCGCCCUGUGGCUGUGUUUUGCAAGGCUGAUGUCAUCCUCAUUAUGCAAACAAACCUGACAAGUCUGAUAGCAAGCAUGAGCUAUUCUAACACAAUUUGAAUACAGUGAACAAAUGGUUUGCUUAUGUAAUGUUUGUUAUAAUCAGGCCCACGCUUUCUAUCCACCUGUUUACUGACACUGCAUUGACAGGGUUUAGCUGAAAGACAGAUAUUUACAUUGUUUGUCAGUUUGCCUGGAGGCAGUUUGUUGCAAGGUUCAGAUGUCAAAGACAGUGUGCAUGGAAAAGCCUCUCCUGGCAUUCCCCACACUACACGCAUAACUACAUACAUAUUUAGAUAACAAGUGAGGGAAUAGGAUUUGCAAAACUCAAACUACUUGGUAUGGAAGUGGCAUUUUGGAGGUUUUGUGUAGCCUAAUGAUCUGACAGCAUCUGGUCUCUUUGAUACGGGUGCUUUUCUUUUUCCCAUCCACAUUUCAAAUUGACAGCGUUUACUGUCCAGACUGAGGGUCUGUCAGAUCGAUGUCUACCCAGCUGUCGUGCAGACUAUUCACCCUGUAUGACAGAGCCUGAAUUUUUUCGCCCUCUUCCUCUGCACCCAUUGUCUGUGACUGACAGCAGCAUGAUGCAAAUGCAUGUAACAUGUUCAGGAAGACUCAACAUAUCUUUAAAUCCAUAGCUUGAAGUGUGGAGAAAAAGGUGGCCCCCUCUUAACUUGAACAAAAGAGCAAAGUGGAGAACAAAUAGCAAUGACUUCUCCUCAUGUCAUUUAACCAGACAUGCUCAUAGCUCCACAAAUUAUAUAUUAACACUGUUCUUGGAAACAUUUGUGUUUUUUUUUUUUUUCGUCUUUACUCUGUCUCACUUUUUUUUUUUUAUUUAGUCGAGAUCGACACCCCCUCCCUGCUCCCUUCUCUCUCUGCUUUAUUACUCCUGGUGCCCCUGGUUGCUGCGGCUGUCUGUGUGUUGCUAUGGAGACAGAAACACAUUUCUGAUCGCGGUAUUGAGCAGUCCCUGUCUGUCCACUC